AGGGGAUCCAAUGGUGGUGACCAUGUGCAAAUGCCCAUCACGUUUGGUAUCACUACCAGAAGACUUCCCGACACUCCUGACUUCGCUGGGAUACCAACCUAUAUAUUCGAAUUUUUGUUCGAUGUUAAUUAAUGAUGUCACCUUGAAUGCAAAUUGGCCGCUAUAAUCGUACAUUCCGCAGCUGUGCAUCAAACUUAAAACAUCUCGAACGCUGUCAGGUUUUAGAACUUUUUCUUCGGUUAUGGGACAAAUGCCACCGUUAGCUAAAGUGGCUGCCAUUACUGCCAUCGUGUCGCAAUUAGCCUCCAUGGAGCAGCACUGUCCAAAAAGACACAUCGUUUGAUAUUACAUUGUUAAAAUAAAAAGAGUAAAAUAAAAAGGGAGGGAAGGAAAGAAAACGAAGGAAAAAAAAAUUUUACCUGGAAAUAGAAAUCCAUGAUUUCUCUCAAAUUCGAUUUAUCGGGAUAACAAUUGUACUCCCUCAUGUAAAAUCCAAGCGCGUAAUUUCUGUCAGCCGCUUCUCGUUCCGACAAAAAUACAGCGUUGUUGAAGCCCAUGUUCUCCCCACCUGCUAACCUCUUAAAAUAAUUCAUCGUGAAGUCGAAUUUUUCGGCUAAAGUCAUUUCAGGCUUGAUCAGAGACUUCAAGAGAGAACAGACUAGGAUUGCGCCAGCGUUGAUCAUGGGAUUAUGGGGUUUCUCUGUAAAGGAGCACGUACAAAAAUAGCUGGGCGAAACAUAACGUGAAAGGAUAGCAGAGAAAACGGAGAAAGAAAACGAUAAAGAAAAUUUGUCAAGGCGAAGUGAAAUCGAAAUUGUGAAAUGUCAAGUUAAAGAUACUUAUAAAUACCACAUGUUCCAAGAAUAAUAAUCUAAAACAUACUGUUGUAAUCCAACACCAGCUCGUUGAAGUUGCGUCCGGACGGUUCUUGGCCGACAUAUUGAUGUACCACUUCCUGUCCCAGCCUGUCCAAAGCGAUCGCGUAAGUCAGAGGCUUGCUGCAACUCUGCAAGGUAAACGGGAUCGAUGUGUCACCGAUGCUGAAUCUCUGCCCAUCGAUCGUGCAGACGGAAACGCCCCAGUAAUCCGGAUUCAUCCUUGCCAGCUGUGGUAUAUAAGAGGCGACCUUGCCCUCCGAGUUCGACUUGCAUUUCCAAUAGAAGUCCUCUAUGUGCUUGGUGAAACCCGACCAAUCGGGUAUAAUGAAUUGGUGUCUGAACGCCCGCGAGAUCAGCACUAUGUUCGGAUUUAUAAUUCUGUAACGUGAUUAAAAAAAAAAAAAAAAUUUAUUACUCCAUUCGUUUCACAAAAAUCUUUUGUAAAAAUCUUUCGACUUUCGAUUUUUUAUAUUAAGAAAUUUUACAUCUUGGAAAA